GAAACAUCUUUAGCAAGUUGUGAUAAGACACAUACAGUCUGUUCAUGGAGGCUCUUUUGUAGUUCCACCAUAACUGCGCUGUCUGUGCAUAAGGGAGAAUA